AUUGAACGCUGGCGGAAUGCUUUACACAUGCAAGUCGAACGGCAGCACGGGGCAACCCUGGUGGCGAGUGGCGAACGGGUGAGUAAUACAUCGGAACGUGCCCAGUCGUGGGGGAUAACGUAGCGAAAGCUACGCUAAUACCGCAUACGAUCUCUGGAUGAAAGCGGGGGACCGCAAGGCCUCGCGCGAUUGGAGCGGCCGAUGGCAGAUUAGGUAGUUGGUGGGGUAAAGGCUCACCAAGCCGACGAUCUGUAGCUGGUCUGAGAGGACGACCAGCCACACUGGGACUGAGACACGGCCCAGACUCCUACGGGAGGCAGCAGUGGGGAAUUUUGGACAAUGGGCGAAAGCCUGAUCCAGCCAUUCCGCGUGCAGGAUGAAGGCCCUCGGGUUGUAAACUGCUUUUGUACGGAACGAAACGGUCCUGGUUAAUACCUGGGGCUAAUGACGGUACCGUAAGAAUAAGCACCGGCUAACUACGUGCCAGCAGCCGCGGU
rnacentral:rRNA from 1 species